rnacentral:lncRNA from 1 species
GUUUAUUUAUUUAUUUGAGAGAAAGAACAAGAGAGAGCACAACCAGGGAGAGGGGCAAAAGGAGAAGGAAAAGCAGUCUCACCAAUAAGCAGGGAGCUGGAGGUGGGGCUCGAUCCCAGGACCCUCAGAUCAUGACCUAAACUGUAGGCAGACAGUUAACUGACUGAACUACACAGGUGCCCCAAAAAGAGACAUUUUAAAGGGAGAAAAAUAAGAGUAAAUAUUCAAAGAUGUUACAACCAUAGUCCUAGACAGAAUCAUUUUGCAAGCUGGUCUUCUUUCCUACUUUUCCCUUUGUUUCAGUCCGUACAUAAACUAAGAUGGAUUAUAAGGAAUAGAAUCGUCCUGGGAGAAUAAGGGACUUUGAUAUUAUUCCUAUUACUACUAUCAUAUUUGCUCUUAGAGAUUAGACACAAUUUUGAAGCCAAGUAGAUUUGAGUUCAAACUUCUAUCACUUGCAAAUUACCUUAAUUCUCUCAACUAUGGUUUCUGCAUCCAUCAAUCAAAACAUAACAUAAACAAACAAAAAAUAACUAUUUUGCAAGGUCAUUGUAAGGGCUUAUCAAUAUUAUAUAAAGAGCUCUUAGAAAAAUGUCUAGCGCAUAGUCUGUGCUCAAUAUAUGACAGUUUUGUUAUUUUUGUUAUGGAUGUUAUUUUUAUGAAUAAUAAUACUGUCACUCAUUAGGAGCCUGUACCCAUAAAAAUACGGAUCCUAACAAAGGAUCCUAGAGCUGAGGAAGCAGUGCUAUCUAUAAAUAAUGCACUAUCUUUCCAUGAAAUAACAGUCAUCUUCACUGCCUGUAAAUAAUUUACAAUUCUGAUCUUCUUCACCAUCUGACAAGAAUAUGAUGGGGAUCAAAAUAUGCCACCCAAAAUAUGCCACUUUGGCAUAAGGACUGUUUUGAACUGAAGGCAAUUAAAAAGCAGCAAAUGUAGAAAAGGUCUUUGCUUCACCCCUAUCCACUUAAAAAGAGAACACAAAAAUCCCUUUGUGAAGGUGUUGCCCCUUCCCUUGUCUAUCAGGGGGAAGAAAACAGUAAUUAUCAGCAGAGACAGAAAGAUGACACUGAAAUGGGUCUGCACAAACAGAACUUACUAAAAUAAUCCUAUCUUCCUUCAGUUUUCCCCAUAUAUUUACCCUCCCACAAUUUACUGCCCUUAGGAGCCAAAACACCUUUUCUCUUAAUCAAUCACUGCUCUGCAAUUUAUCACCCUUUGUUAAAACGGUAUAAAGACUCUGGGGCCAAAUAGCUUCUCUGAAUUUUCAUUUCAUUUAGGAAGGCUUCUGUGCACAAAGAAAUUAAAAUAUUAACAACAAAUAAAAUACCUUGUCUGCCAACAAUCUUCUGUCAGUCCAAUUUACACAUUCUAGUAAGAAAACUUAAGAGAGGGGCACCUGGGUGGCUCAGUGGGUAAAGGUAAAGCAUCUGCCUUCAGUUCAGGUCAUGAUCCCAAGGUCCUGGGAUCCAACUCCAACUUAAGCUCUGUGCUCAGCAGGGAGUCCACUUCUCCCUCUCCUUCUACCCUUCCCUCCUCACUUGUGCUCUCUCUCAAAUAAAUAAAAAUCUUUAAUUUUUUUUAAUUAAAAAAAAAUAAGACAAUAGAGGACAUAUUUUUAUCUCCCUCCCCUACAAGUGUAUACAUGUGUUUUGAAAGUAGGAACAACCUCUUCUAAAUUUACGGAGAGGAAAGUAAAUAAAUAGCUCAAAAGAGCAUUUAGUGCUCUUCCUUUUGUUAGAUCUUUGCUAUUCAUCUAAUCGAGGAAUCAGCAUCAUCUGGAAGCCUGAUAAAAAUGCAAAAUCUGAGGUUGUACCCUAGAUCUAUUGAAUCAGAAUCUGCAUGUUAAUUAGAUCCCAAGUGAUUUGUAUACAUAUUAAAGUUUGAGGCACAUUGGCUCUUUCAUUAUCCAUAUCCCUCUACUUGUAUAUUUAAUGACACUUCAAACCCAGCCAACUCAGAGUGGUAGUAUUUUGUUAUUUUCUUUCCCAUCAGUAAGAGGUGAUUAAGUAAAUCAUUGCAGCAGAGUAACAUAUUAUUUCUUUUUUGAAAAACCCAUUUAGAACCUUGUACAAUGUGGAAAAGAUUUGGAAUAUCCAUGGUGCCAAAAUCUGGGCGAAUAUAUUCUUGUAAACUUAAACAUAAAAAAAAAAAAAAAAAAAACUUAAACAUAAUACACAAGAGGAUACUAGAUGAGUAUUUCCUAAUGUUUCUUUAGCAUGCCUACACCACAUCAUGAGCAUCUGCCCUUGGUGCUAAGGCCGUUGUAGAAGAGAUCAUAUUUUCAAUAAUAUAUGGUGAUGAACUCAGAAGGUAGAAACUAAUUUCAACCACAAGUCCUUUCUUUUAACUUUUUUUUAAGACCUUUUUUUUUCUUUUUGCAUAUUGCAUAUUCUUUUGGAUAUUUUUGUAUUUUCUCUCCUUAAACAGACUUGGGUCAGGUUCCUCUGGGCCUUUUCCUUAGCUAAGUCUCCAACUUGGUCCCCAUCCUUGAUGGGCUUGGGUAGCCAAAUUUUAGCAAGAUACCUGCUAAGACAGUUUAUAAAGAAUCCCCCAUUCUCAGUUAUCUGAUCAAAUUCCUCAUCUCUUACCCUUUAUAUCUGGUCACCGGGCUUGUCUUCAGCAAGAAUCCUAUAAAAUCAGUUUGGAAAGAAUCUCCCUACCUUUAUGUCUCCUCUUAGUAAUUUCUCACCCACUGAGCCCCUUACUCUGUUCCUUGGCUGUAAAUCUCCAGGUGUCUUUGCUGUGUUUGGAGUGCAGCUCCAUCUCUCUCUCUCCUACUACAAUAGUUUUGACACCUUUUACAAUAGUCCUGAAUAGCCUUCCUUGCCGGUUUAGCAAGUGUCAGAAUAAUUUUUUCUCUAACAAUACACUUCCCUAAAAAUUCUUAAGAGGCAGUCAGAGCACAGAAAAACAUUGGCAAGAAGUAUAACUUAUCCAUAGAGAGCUAUAAAACAUUGGGAACAGUUUAUUUGAAUAAAAUAGAUUUUAUUAAAAGUAUACUUGGGACUAUUUAGCUUACCAAAUCCAAGUUAAGUUAUGCAAGAGUGUAAUUUCAUCCAGAAUACUAGAUAGGGAUAGUCAAAAGAAAAUCAAGCAUCUAAAUGACACUUCAAAAAUGGGAAGUCCCAAAAUAUUAAUGAUCCAUUUUUGUUUGGAAGAUGGAUAGAAAUGAGCAAGCUGAAUAGAGAGGUACUCUGAUUCUGCAUGAACUCACAUUUUAGUCAGGUACCCAUGUCUAAGUUUCACUCACACUGUUCAUGAAACUCAAAUUAAGUCCCAGAAAAGCAAUUACAUGAGAUCUCUCAUAUCCUUCCAAAGGCCAUCCAAAUGGCAACAGGGACCUAAGAACCAAAGAUAAGUAGUCCAAUUCCAAAGAUCAAGUAUGUUAGGUAACACUACCCCAUCACAUCAAGCUAUUGCAUCCCCAUCGAGGACGUUUUUGAACAGAAUUCUGAACACUCUGAAGUCUGAAAACUAGCAAAAUAGGUCAAAGUAGAUAGUCAUUAAAAUGUAGGUAGAUGAUAAGACAAUUUCAGGACACUUUUAUAGGGAUCUCUUUGGCUGUGUACUUCUUUAUCCAUAUCUAUGUUUCCCAAGGCCAUGUUCUAUGAACACUAGCCAAUGAGAUGCUCUCCAAAAAAAUGUUCCUUGAUCAAAAAACUUGGGAAAGAAUGCAUACUCAAUCCUUCUUGUUUAAAGAUACGUUCAUUUGCAUACAAAAAAAUUCUAAAUCACUAACUAUAGAGAAUAAAUUGUUGGUUACCAGAGGUGGGAGCCAGGAGAAAAGGGAUGGGUUGGGUCAGGGGUGAGAGUAGGGGGUUGGGGCAGAGGUUGGAGCAGAACAGUUGGUUAAAUGGAUGAUGGAGAUUAAGGAGGGCACUUACUGUGAUGAGCACUGGGUGUUGUAAGUGAUAAAUCACUAAAUUCUACACCUGAAAAUAAUGUUGCACUGUAUGUUAACUAACCAGAAUUUAAAUAAAAACUUUUUAAAAAUUCUAAAUUAAUUACCAUUUAAUGGUUCUGAAAAAUCUGAAAAAAAAAAAAAAAA